rnacentral:rRNA from 3 species
UUGUCUCAAAGAUUAAGCCAUGCAUGUCUCAGUACAAGCCACAUUAAGGUGAAACCGCGAAAGGCUCAUUAAAUCAGUUAUGGUUCCUUAGAUCGUACCCACGUUACUUGGAUAACUGUGGUAAUUCUAGAGCUAAUACAUGCAAACAGAGCUCCGACCGGAGACGGGAGGAGUGCUUUUAUUAGAUCAAAACCAAUCGGCGGCGGGCGCGUUCGCGCGUCCGUUCGCCGCUCUACCUGGUGACUCUGAAUAACUUUCCGCUGAUCGCACGGUCUCGCACCGGCGACGUAUCUUUCAAAUGUCUGCCUUAUCAACUGUCGAUGGUAGGUUCUGCGCCUACCAUGGUCGUAACGGGUAACGGGGAAUCAGGGUUCGAUUCCGGAGAGGGAGCCUGAGAAACGGCUACCACAUCCAAGGAAGGCAGCAGGCGCGCAAAUUACCCACUCCCGGCACGGGGAGGUAGUGACGAAAAAUAACGAUACGGGACUCAUCCGAGGCCCCGUAAUCGGAAUGAGUACACUUUAAAUCCUUUAACGAGGACCAAUUGGAGGGCAAGUCUGGUGCCAGCAGCCGCGGUAAUUCCAGCUCCAAUAGCGUA